CCCGCUGAACUUAAGCAUAUCAAUAAGCGGAGGAAAAGAAACCAACAGGGAUUGCCUCAGUAACGGCGAGUGAAGCGGCAACAGCUCAAAUUUGAAAUCUGCCUCUGGGCCGAGUUGUAAUUUGCAGAGGAUGCUUCGGGUAAGAUGCUGGCCUAAGUUCCUUGGAACAGGACGUCAUAGAGGGUGAGAAUCCCGUAUGUGGCCGGAUAUUGAACCUAUGUGAAGCUCCUUCGACGAGUCGAGUUGUUUGGGAAUGCAGCUCAAAAUGGGUGGUAAAUUUCAUCUAAAGCUAAAUAUUGGCCAGAGACCGAUAGCGCACAAGUAGAGUGAUCGAAAGAUGAAAAGCACUUUGAAAAGAGAGUUAAACAGUAUGUGAAAUUGUUGAAAGGGAAGCGCUUGUGACCAGACUUGUCCGCAGGGUUCAACCGCCUGUACCGGUGGUGUACUUCCCUACGAUCAGGCCAGCAUCGGUCUGGGUGGAAGGUGAAAGGUCCGGGAAAUGUGACACCCUUCGGGGUGUGUUAUAGACCCGUUCGCAAUGCUUCCCACCUGGACCGAGGAACGCGCAUCUGCUCGGAUGCUGGCGUAAUGGUCCUAAGCGACCCGUCUUGAAACACGG
rnacentral:rRNA from 1 species